GGAAGGAUCAUUACCGAGUGCGGGCCCUCUGGGUCCAACCUCCCACCCGUGUCUAUCGUACCUUGUUGCUUCGGCGGGCCCGCCUGCUGGCCGCCGGGGGGCCUCCGCCCCCGGGCCCGCGCCCGCCGAAGACACCGCCGAACUCUGUCUGAAGAUUGCAGUCUGAGCGAUUUACGAAAUUAGUUAAAACUUUCAACAACGGAUCUCUUGGUUCCGGCAUCGAUGAAGAACGCAGCGAAAUGCGAUAAGUAAUGUGAAUUGCAGAAUUCAGUGAAUCAUCGAGUCUUUGAACGCACAUUGCGCCCCCUGGUAUUCCGGGGGGCAUGCCUGUCCGAGCGUCAUUGCUGCCCUCAAGCACGGCUUGUGUGUUGGGCCACCGUCCCCUCUCCCGGGGGGACGGGCCCGAAAGGCAGCGGCGGCACCGAGUCCGGUCCUCGAGCGUAUGGGGCUUCGUCACCCGCUCCGUAGGCCCGGCCGGUCGCCUGCCGACGACCAAUCUUCCUUCUCCAGGUUGACCUCGGAUCAGGUAGGGAUACCCGCUGAACUUAAGCAUAUCAAUAAGCGGAGGAAAAGAAACCAACCGGGAUUGCCCUAGUAACGGCGAGUGAAGCGGCAAGAGCUCAAAUUUGAAAGCUGGCUCCUUCGGGGUCCGCAUUGUAAUUUGCAGAGGAUGCUUCGGGAGCGGCCCCCAUCUAAGUGCCCUGGAACGGGCCGUCAUAGAGGGUGAGAAUCCCGUCUGGGAUGGGGUGCCCGCGCCCGUGUGAAGCUCCUUCGACGAGUCGAGUUGUUUGGGAAUGCAGCUCUAAAUGGGUGGUAAAUUUCAUCUAAAGCUAAAUAUUGGCCGGAGACCGAUAGCGCACAAGUAGAGUGAUCGAAAGAUGAAAAGCACUUUGAAAAGAGAGUUAAAAAGCACGUGAAAUUGUUGAAAGGGAAGCGCUUGCGACCAGACUCGCCCGCGGGGUUCAGCCGGCAUUCGUGCCGGUGUACUUCCCCGCGGGCGGGCCAGCGUCGGUUUGGGCGGCCGGUCAAAGGCCCUCGGAAUGUAACGCCUCCCGGGGCGUCUUAUAGCCGAGGGUGCCAUGCGGCCAGCCCGGACCGAGGAACGCGCUUCGGCACGGACGCUGGCAUAAUGGUCGUAAGCGACCCGUCUUGAAACACGGACCAAGGAGUCUAACAUCUACGCGAGUGUUCGGGUGUCAAACCCGUGCGCGCAGUGAAAGCGAACGGAGGUGGGAACCCUUUGGGUGCACCAUCGACCGAUCCUGAUGUCUUCGGAUGGAUUUGAGUAAGAGCGUAGCUGUUGGGACCCGAAAGAUGGUGAACUAUGCCUGAAUAGGGCGAAGCCAGAGGAAACUCUGGUGGAGGCUCGCAGCGGUUCUGACGUGCAAAUCGAUCGUCAAAUUUGGGUAUAGGGGCGAAAGACUAAUCGAACCAUCUAGUAGCUGGUUCCUGC
rnacentral:misc_RNA from 1 species